rnacentral:rRNA from 1 species
UAACUCCGUCGCCAGCAGCCGCGGUAAUACGGGAGGGGUGCAAGUCGUUAAUCGGAAAUUACUGGGCGUAAAGCGCACGCAGGGCGGUUUGUUUAAGUCAGAUGUGAAAAUCCCCGGGCUCAAACGUGGGAACUGCAUCCUGAUACUGGGCAAGCUUGAGUCUCGUAGAGGGGGGGUAGAAUUCCAGGUGUAGCGGUGAAAUGCGUAGAGAUCUGGAGGAAUACCGGUGGCGAAGGCGGCCCCCUGGACGAAGACUGACGCUCAGGUGCGAAAGCGUGGGGAGCAAACAGGAUUAGAUACCCUGGUAGUCCACGCCGUAAACGAUGUCGACUUGGAGGUUGUGCCCUUGAGGCGUGGCUUCCGGAGCUAACGCGUUAAGUCGACCGCCUGGGGAGUACGGCCGCAAGGUUAAAACUCAAAUGAAUUGACGGGGGCCCGCACAAGCGGUGGAGCAUGUGGUUUAAUUCGAUGCAACGCGAAGAACCUUACCUGGUCUUGACAUCCACGGAAGUUUUCAGAGAUGAGAAUGUGCCUUCGGGAACCGUGAGACAGGUGCUGCAUGGCUGUCGUCAGCUCGUGUUGUGAAAUGUUGGGUUAAGUCCCGCAACGAGCGCAACCCUUAUCCUUUGUUGCCAGCGGUCCGGCCGGGAACUCAAAGGAGACUGCCAGUGAUAAACUGGAGGAAGGUGGGGAUGACGUCAAGUCAUCAUGGCCCUUACGACCAGGGCUACACACGUGCUACAAUGGCGCAUACAAAGAGAAGCGACCUCGCGAGAGCAAGCGGACCUCAUAAAGUGCGUCGUAGUCCGGAUUGGAGUCUGCAACUCGACUCCAUGAAGUCGGAAUCGCUAGUAAUCGUGGAUCAGAAUGCCACGGUGAAUACGUUCCCGGGCCUUGUACACACCGCCCGUCACACCAUGGGAGUGGGUUGCAAAAGAAGUAGGUAGCUUAACUUCGGAGGGCGCUU